AUUUCCAUAUAUUUUUUGACUCCUUCGCAACCAUUGUGAUGACUCGAUCAAUUUUGAGGUUAUGAGCAGAAGGAAAACAAACAUGUAUUUACCGUAUUUACACAAGCCGAUUUGCACAAAAUUGUGCGAGCGUUAAACGUCACUCAUCUCUAUUUCCAACACGAUUGUUUUUGUUUAUGAAGUACGUUCGAAGAGCGACGGCGAACUGUUUUGAAUCUGCAAGUACAAAAAUUGCUUUGGAAGUUAAUAUCUUUUGGACCUGGAAUCAUCGGCAGUGCGGCAUAAAAUGGACAGGAACUCGGAGCUGGGAGCUGCAUGGGAUUCGGAGAUAAUCUGUUAUGUUGCUGAUUUAUCUACAAGCCACAGGUUCGGAUGUCUACAGUAACACAAAACAAUCAACUCUUUCGGAUAUAAAAAAGUAAUGGCUAGAGACAUGCAGGGUGGAGUGAAAGUCGCUCUUCAACAAAAUGCUACACCAGAAUCUCACAAGCCCAGGAGGAGGCCAUUGAAGAGGUCACAAACGACAAAUAUUCAAGGAAUAGUGAAAAGUUAUUCUCGAUGUACUUGAAAACCGGAAUAGUCUGUUAGAGAAGAGAAGAAUAUUCAUAUAAUUCGUAUGGCAUACCUGACUUCAAAAGUAGAGCACUGUUUAAAUUGGCGAAGGACUACACAGCUAUACUUUUAAAAUUAGUUUUUUCAUAAGGAUUCUAUGACAAAUUACCAACUUCGCGAAAUGACUAUUCCGGUUUUCAACUAUUAAUAUAAAUAUAAUGGAAUUCGGAAUACAUAGUUAUAUUGUUAUAACAAUAAAAAGCGAAUAGACAUGUCGACAAUAUAUGUAACUAAAUAAAAGCUCGUAAAUGUUUACGAUGUUUCAUGAA